AUCAUUUUGUCUGAACCAUCUUCUUCUUCUUUCUUUAUUUCUUUACUUCGAUCACUAUUUUUCUUUUCUGUAGAAGAACAUGAAUUCUUCUGUAUUUGUAUUCCAAUAUCCCCCUCAAAUUGGAGGGUGGUGAAAUUACCCCCAAAUUGUUAAGCAAUGAUCGAUGAGAAACCCCAGAUAAGGGUUUGGAGAAAAUAUCCGCAAUUUGAUGCUCCGAAGGGACGAAAAAAAGAGUAAUCCAGCCAGAAAUGAACUGUUGAUGUACAAAAUGACAAUCCAACUCCACGUGCUUCGUCCUUUCGUGGAAAACUGGAUUUUUAGCGAUGUGAAUCGCCACCUGGCUGUCGGAGUGUACAGUAAUGGGAAAAUUAUGAGGAACUAAAAGAUCCUGAAGAACUCGUACCAACCAGGAAAUAGGAGCACCACCGAGUGUCAUAAAAUAUCCACUCAUUGAACGACGAGAAUCGUUACAAGAUGCCCAAUCAGUAUGGCAAAAAGCCAACAAAUCAAAAGAGAGGUCGGAAAAUAAAAGGAUGCCCUGUCCUGGAUCAUUUUUCAGGUAUCUCAAAACUCUUAAAGAUACUGAAAAAUGUGCUUCACGAGGUUGUUACACAUACUGACUAAGUGUAAAGACUGCAAAACAUAAGUCAAGUCUAGUACGUGUCAAGUAGUUAAGCUUUCCUAUCAAAUGUCUAUAAAUGGUAAGAUUAGAUAUAAGAGGUCCAUCACUGCCAUUUAGUUGAGAAUAUGGAUUAAUAGGAGAGGAGACUUUAGCACCUGAGCAAUCAAAAUCUUAUAGAAGGUCUAAAGUAAAUUUUCUCUACUUGAUAAUGAAACUUUGUUUUUCCCUUAGAAUCUCCAUACUUAGUGUUGACAUCUAAUUUUGUCCCACCUUUCUUCCGAAAUACCUAUUUUUCACUUCCAAUAUUUUGGCAACUUUAAAAAAUAAUUAUUUGCAUUUUUUACUAUAAUUAUUAGCUUUUAUUAAUACCGGCAUUUCAUUAUCCUGUUGUAGUCACUACUGUUAUUAUCUUUUAUUACCGUUACUACUACCAUUAUUAUUUUAUUGUUAUUGUUAUUAUUAUUAUUAUUAUUAUUAUUAUUUUAUUACCAGUAUUAUUAUAAUUCACAUUUUUUAUCAUUUCAGCACUUUUACCAGCUUAUGCACACGCAUCGCAUUUAUCUUCGCAUAAUUUAAUAAUAGCGUUUACUUACUGUUGAAUUUCAAAAUAUUAUUGCACAACUAUUGCGAUGUCAUAUCAUGUUAUUUUCAUCUGAGUACUAACAAAUACAUACUUUAUAUUAGGGGAUAUUUUAGCACACUCAGUAUAUGAUUAAUUGAAAUGGGUCUCUUAUUUAAAUCUAGAAGCCAAACUAUUUUCAUCCAGCCCAAUAUUUUAAAAUAUCCAGCCCAAAUCAGUUAACCCAUUAUUUUCAUCCGCCGAGCCCACAUUUUCAGCCAAUUCAGCCCAAAAGAAAAUUGACCCAGUCCAUUAACCCACGACCCGGCCCAAUUCUCAUUUUAACAAAAAUAAAACCCCUAAGGGUUUCAUCUUUUUCUCCUCUCAGCCGCACACCCCCCUUGCUCCUAGCUCUCUUCUCUCCCUCUUUCAUCGUCCUCUUCCCCCCCCCCCCCCCCACUUCUCCCUGUUCCCCACGCCUGUCUCUCCCACUGCCCUCUGUCCCCCACUUCUCUUUGUCCCCCCGCUCCUCUCUCUCUUCUUCACAAACGAAAAACCUAUAAAUCUUGGUUCUCUAUAAUAGAAAUUCUCUCUUCUUUUAGCCGCCUGAAAACUACAUAGAAUUUAGAAGCUUUUUGUUUUAGCCGCACAAAAUCCCAAAAAGUUUUAAUGCUCAGUAGUGGUGGCAGUUUCUGAAUCGAGUAAAAAAUCCGAACAUCGCAAGCUUGGAUUUGAUAGUGUUCGAGUAGAUUGGAAACCCUCCGCACCCACUUCGCUGCACCCGAAGAAGGUCAGUGAAUCUUCUCUUUUUAGUUAUCUUGAAUUUAUAGUUGUUUCCCCGCUUAGCUGUGUUCUAGGAUGGUAUGGUGGUGGCUUUUAAUUACUAGUUCAAUAUCUGCUUAUGUGUGUUGGUUGUCAUUCUUGUUUAGUUAUGUUCGUUAAUGGUUGCAAGCAUGUUUAGGCGCAUUAGCUUUUUAACAUUGUUUCGGGUGCAGACGUAUUGUAUUGUUUAGUUGGUAAUCUUCAUCUCCUUUUAGUUUUAUUAUUUUCUUAUGUGCGUUUUAAUUCUUGCUCGUUUGUUUCGAUUUCUCGCUUAAUAUAGUUGGUUAGUAUUCAACAGUAUGAUCUCAUGUUAGCUGCUUAAAUGGUUUGCCUCCAUGUUUCGUGUUAAUGUUUUAAGGUAGUUUGAAGUGUUAGUUUCAUGUAUAUUUAGCUGCUAGUCUUUAUCCCAUUAUGUCUAUGAUUCAAGUAUAGUAGUGUAGUUCAGAGCAGCUUGAACUAUUAAUCUGUUAUUUUUUUGAAGUAUUAAUCUGUUAGGAAGUAGAUCUCUGUAGCAUGUUCUGUGUCUAUCGUUCGCCAUAUUUAUCGAUUACAUACUAAUCUUUUUCCUUUCGUUUUUAUGCAUGACCACCGCGUGCGAGUCCGAGGAACUCGUCUUCUUCCGCAUUCGAUGUUGGGCCAAAGCCCAAUGAAACAUUCUAUCGAGUCAGCCCCAUCAGCUGUGUAAAAUGAUUCGGGGCCGAGACCCAUAACAGCAGCAACAGUGCACAGCAAUUGGCCUGAAAUGGGCCGAUCCAUUUAAUUCCUUUCCUCCUCUAUUUUAUGCUCUGUUGUGCAUUUUGCUUUGGUAUUGAAUGACUAACGCUUUUCCUUGUUUCGUUUUCUUAACAUUAGAUGAAUCCUAACGGAUUAGUGGGGAUGAUGUUAAUAAUAACGGGUAGUUAAAUUUAAAGGAGAAGCCAAUAGUUAAUUCCCUAGGUUUCAGUUUUUAUGUUAAAAUUAUUUAAAGUCUUCUCUUAUGCAAAUUAUUAUAUUUUCUCUAAAUCUUAUUUUAAGCAACAUUCUUAUAUUUUCCUUAAAACCUUAACAACCUUUCUUAGCCCUUUUUUUUUCUUAAAAUUCAAAGCACCUUAUUUAGCAUUAAUUAAUUAACCUAAGUUUUGCCGGAUAACCGUAGUUAACGGAUUCUGAAGGAUGCCUAACCCCUUCCCUUUAGGAUAAUAUAGAACCCUUACCUAGAAUCACACUGAUUAAGCAGACUAUUAACAGAGGUUUAGUUAGCUUUACCUUAGUUAAUAAUUAGGUGCCCUAAUUCACCUUAAAAUCAAUUAGGUGGCGACUCCCUUAAAUAAAGCGAAAUAGGAAUCUCCAAUAUGUUAUGCUCUAAUUUAACCCGGUUUAAAAUUGGGUAUAACACUUAGGAAAUAAUUAAUAUCCCCUAAAUGUUUGACUCUGAAUUCAUUGUUGAGAAAAGUAGUGAUCUGAGAGAUUUCAGGAUGAUCAUUUCCUGUGAUCAAAAUGUCAUCUACAUACACUGCUAUUAUAGAAACUGAAUCCUGAGUACCCUUGAAAAACAAUGAAUAAUCAUUCAAAGAACUAGUGUACCCCACCUAGUUUGGCAUACCAUUGUCUGGAUGCUUAUUCUACCAUUGUCUGCAUGCAUGUUUUAAUCCAUAUAGAGAUUUCCUCAAUAAGCAGACCUGCUUAGGAUUAGAACAAUGCCUACCUACAGGAAACUCCAUAUAAACUUCUUCUUGUAGAUCACCAUGUAGAAAAGCAUUACCCACAUCUAAUUGGUGCAUUUGCCAUCCCUUUUUAAUAGCAACAGUGAGGAGACAUCUGAUGGUGGUCAUCUUGACCACUGGUGAAAAGGUCCUAGUAUAGUCCACUCCUUCCUCUUGAAUGCCCCCCCCCCCCCCCCCCCCUCCCUUCCCCGACUACUAAUUUUAGUCUUUCAAUUGUCCCAUUUGUCUUAUGCUUUACGUUGUAAACCCAUUUACAAGGUAAUGCUUUCUUUCCUGGUGGCAAUUCCACAAUGUCCCAAGUAUGGUUUAGUGCAAGUGCAUCAAGUUCUUCUUGCGUAGCUUGUUUCCAUCCUUCAUAAGUGGAAGCUUGAGCAAAAGAUUUAGGUUCAGGAAUGGUAGAAAUAUAAAGUAACACUUGUUGGUUAUUUAGUAAUAGUGAACUGAAGGAAAAGGAUGUAGGUUGUGUAGGAUGGAUGAAACAAGCAUUAGUAAGGUCUGUUAAGUGAAUAUUGUUGCAUAUGUAGUCAUCUAGAUAACCUGGUCUAUGAUUUAUUCUACCAGAAGUUCUUGUUUGAGUAGGAGGUUCAGAAGAAGGGUUGACAAAGGAAAUAUCAUGAGGAAUAGAAGAAUAUGUGGUAGUUAUUGCUGGAGAUUCAUCCAGUCUAGGGAUAGAAUGAAGAUUAUUUGGUGUAGAGAAAGGAGAAAGUGGAUGUAUAACGGGAGAAUUGACAGUAGAAGAUGAAGGAAAAGAAGUAGAAAUAAAUUGAGAGGGAUCUGAAACAAGUGUAGAAUGAGAUUGAGUGAGUAAGAAAGGGUCUGAAUAUGUGGAACUAUAAUGAAUUGUAGGAAAGACUGUUGAAUUAGAGUUCGAAUAGAAUGCAAAAGGGAACUGAUGUUCAAAGAAUUGAACAUCUCUUGAGACAAAAACUUUCUUGAAAACCAAUUCCAUUAACUUGUACCCCUUCUGUCCUUGGGGAUAUCUUAAAAACACACAAGCAACUGCCCUAGGAUCAAAUUUAGUCUUGUUGUUAGACAAAGCAGAUGCAUAGCAUAAACAACCAAAACUCCUUAAAUUGUCAUAUUUGUGCUUGUUACCAAAUAGAACCUCAUAGGGAGUCUUCCAUUUAAGAACCCUUGACGGAAAUCUAUUGAUUAAGUGUGUUGCUGUCAAAAAGUCUCCCCAGUGUGAGUUGGGUAAAUGAGAUUGAAACAUCAGUCCUCUUGUAAUUUGUAAGAGAUGUCUAUGUUUCCUCUCACUAUCUCAUUCUGUUGGGGUGUACCUACACAAGAAGUUUGAUGUAUUAUACCUUGAGACUUGAGGAACAAGCUCUCUUGUGUUUCUUUGCCUAAUUCCAUAGCACUGUAAGACCUGAUCAUCUUCACUUUUACAUUGAACUGUUUCUUAAGCAUGACUAGAGAAUCGUUUAGCAUAUGAAAGCAUUGCUCAUAGCAGUUAGUAAAAAUGUUCAGUGUCUCUACUAUAGUCAUCCACUAUGGUGAGAAAGUAUUUGUAUCUAUUGUAAGUGCAACAUUUAUAUGGACCCCAGUGUCUAUAUGAAUUAGAUCAAAAGGCUUUUUAGUAUGAAUCUGACUUAGAGGAAAAGGCAGUCUAGUCUGUCUUGCCUUAGGGCACACAUCACAAACAUGUUGAAAUUUAGAAGGGAAAUAAAUGAAAUAAAAAAAAUCAUUACUGAGUAAGGAACAUGUCCCGAACUUACAUGCCAUAAUGCUAUACUAGGAACCACAUUUGCUGAAAUUGGAAAUGGAACUAAAUUUGACAUGGAAAUGAAACUACAUUUUCAUUUGAAACAUGCUUAGACCUAAGACUAGCAGGCUGAAAUAGGUAGAGACUUCCCUCGCUUGACCAAAAGCUUGAGUGUUCCUCAUUAAAGGACCAUGUAAGAUACAACCACUAGAAGUGAAUAACAUAUCACACUUAUAUAAAUAGCGCAACUUGUGAACAGAUAAUAAGUUAUACUUGAAAUCUGGAAUAUAAAGGACAUUUUUAAGAGUUAUUUUAUGCAGAAUGGAAAUACUUCAUGCAUGAGUCACAAUAAUCCUGAAAGAAUUAGGUAAAGUGAUACUUAUAGGCAUAAGAAGGGGGUUUAAAUAAAUAAAAGACUUAGAAUCAAAGCGCAUAUGUUCUGAUCCACCUGAAUCAAUGAUCUAGGUGAAGGCGUUAAAAACUGAAAGACAAGUUCUUGAGUACUUUAGGAUUGCACCAGCUAUUGCUCCUACAUUAAAUCCACCAUUUGGAGCUCCUGCUUGUCCCAUCUUUACUUCCAUAAGAACCUUUUGAACUAGUUCAGCAUACUGAUCCUUACUCAUGCCUUGACUGCAACUACUGCUUGAUGCAUCCCCUUGUGUAAUGAGUGGAGUUUCUAUUUCUUCUUUAGCCAUAACCCCAUUUGUCUUUCCAUGAUACUCCUUAGACUUUGUAAACUCAAAAUCAGCUGGAUACCCAUGAAGUCUGUGACAAUCGUCUUGGACAUGUCCUAUUUUUCCACAAUAUGUAUAGCUCACAUUUGGAUUAUACUUUGAUAUUCUUGGUUUGUUCCUUUGAAAUCUCUAACUGGUCUUUGUGUGUUGACAAUAAAUUUUUGCUGUGUUUGACCAUGUCCUCUCAUUCCUUGAUGCCCAUUUCUUUGAUAUGAUUUUCCUUGUGAUGUUACCAUGAAGGAUCCAGAUCCAAAAUCAUUUGUGUAGUUGGCACUCACAUACACUUCUCUAUGAUUUUCAUCUUGUAGUAAUAGAGAAUAAGCAGUGUCCAUGCUAGGCAAGGGGUUCAUCAUCAAUAUGUUUCCCCUUGCCUUUGAAUACACAUCAUUUAGGCCCAUAAGAAACUGUAUAAGUCUUUGAUCCUCUAAUGAUUUUAUUGACAUAGUUUUACCCUCACAAGUACACACACAAGUGCAACAUAUAAUUGGGUUGAUUGAGUCUAAUUCAUCCCACAGUCUUUUUAAUUUAGUGAAGUAACCUGCUACAUCACUGUUUGCUUGGAUUAAUCCUGAAAGUUCCUUUUGAAGAUGAUACAACUGUGCACCAUUAGUUUUUUCCAAAUCUGCUUUCUGAACUAUCCCAUAGUCCUUUGGCUAUUUUAGAGUACAUCACACUAUCUGCAAUGUCAUUUGUUAAAGAGUUUAUCAGUCAUGCAGUGACCAUGUCAUUGCAACUGGCCCAUUAUUCAUAGUCUACAUGAUUCAGAUCUGGUGGUUUACAACCUCCAUUGAUGAAACCAUGUUUUUUCUUGGUUGACAAAGCAAUUAAAACAUAUCUUAUCCACCCUGGAAAUCCUCUUCCAUAAAAAAUGGUAUUGAUGAGAUUCAUUCCAGGUGAAUUUGAAGAAUUGAGAUAGUAAGGAUGAGAGUGAUCAAAUUUAGUAGCAUUCACUGUAGUAGCUACAAUGCUUUCAGUGCUUGUAUUGUUUGUACUCAUUCUAUAUUGUGACUGAUGUUAAAAUUAGGAAUUUGAUAAUGUAAAAGGUUGAUUUGAUGACCAGAAAAUUGGAUCGAGCUACUACUCUGAUACCAUGAAAGAAAACAAAGACAUUUUUGGGAAAUUUUCUGAUACUUGUAUUGAUUUCAUCACCUUCUAUAUGUAUAUGUAAUUUGUGCAAUAAAUAAAUAAUAAAAGAAAAUCUGCCUAUACACUUGUCAUUCUAUGAUUUGUACAUUAUGUAACUAAUUUUGAUUCCCUCACAUGCAUUACAGGCACAUGAAGGAAGCUUCUUAGCUCCUUCCUUUAUCUCCAGCUGCCCUUGAUCAGACGGCUGAGAUUCCAUCCCAUCAUUUUUAUCAGGGGCUGUGAUUUGUCCACGUAGACAAAGGACAAAUACUUUGUGUACCUAGGCUUCAUCGAAGCCUCAAUCAUUUUGUCUGAACUGUCUUCUUCUUCUUUCUUUCUUUAUUUCGAUCACCAUUUUUCUUUUCUGUAAAAGAACAUGAAUUCUUCUGUAUUUGUAUUCCAAUAAACUAAUCAAUAAUAAUCACAAGGUCGUUCGAUUUCAAAGAAA